GACGAACGCUGGCGGCGUGCUUAACACAUGCAAGUCGAACGGAAAGGCCUGCUUUCCCUUAUGGAUUGCGGGUACUCGAGUGGCGAACGGGUGAGUAACACGUGAGUGAUCUGCCCCCAACUUGGGUAUAAGCCUGGGAAACUGGGUCUAAUUCCCGAUAGGACUGCAGGGUGGUGCCUGUGGUGGAAAACGAUUUUCUAGUGGUAGGGGAUGAGCUCGCGGCCUAUCAGCUUGUUGGUAGGGUAAUGGCCUACCAAGGCGGCGACGGGUAGCCGGCCUGAGAGGGUGCACGGCCACAUUGGGACUGAGCUACGGCCCAGACUCCUACGGGAGGCAGCAGUGGGGAAUCUUGCACAAUGGGCGGAAGCCUGAUGCAGCGACGCCGCGUGGGGGAUGACGGCCUUCGGGUUGUAAGCUCCUUUCGACCGCGAGGAAGCCACCUGGUUGGAAGGGUGGUGACGGUAGUGGUAGAAGAAGCACCGGCUAACUACGUG
rnacentral:rRNA from 1 species